ACAACAACAUUCGGACCGUCGGUCUACCGAGCAAUAUCACCCGCUCGGUGGAAGAUCUUCCCUUUGUCAUAAGCC
rnacentral:pre_miRNA from 1 species